UACGAAGGGGGCUAGCGUUGUUCGGAAUUACUGGGCGUAAAGGGCGCGUAGGCGGCCCGUUCAGUCAGAUGUGAAAGCCCCGGGCUCAACCUGGGAACUGCAUUUGAUACUGGCGGGCUUGAGUUCCGGAGAGGAUGGUGGAAUUCCCAGUGUAGAGGUGAAAUUCGUAGAUAUUGGGAAGAACACCGGUGGCGAAGGCGGCCAUCUGGACGGACACUGACGCUGAGGCGCGAAAGCCAGGGGAGCAAACGGGG
rnacentral:rRNA from 1 species